UUAAAGACAUUUAAUAUAGGAAAACUUUUCUGCUUGUUGUUUGGAAGUUCUUUACAACUACUUUAACAGAAAGGCCAGGACUUGGAAAAGGUGUAAGCACAUCUGUCCUUAUGAAAAGCUAUACAGUUGCAAUGUAAUAUAUAUUUGUCCUUUACACAUAUCACCUCUAUAUUUGUACAAGCUAUUUAGAAAUACUAAAAAGUUAACUACUAAAAACUCAUUGGUAUAAGCUUUUCAUUUUUGUUUUAAAAUUGUAAACACAUAAUUUUACCAUAUAUUUUGCUGUUCUGAUCCUGUAUAUGCAUUUACAAUAUGACUUACACAUACAAUAAUCUGGGAAAAGAAAAGGCAUGCUGCUAAAAUCAUUCUGCUACAUGAUCACCCUUUUAAAUCAUUAGAGAACAUCAUUCCAGGAUGACUGGAACACACAAAGAUCUUGCACAAACCAAGGCAUGUGUUAGAGAGUGAGAUCAGGCUUAUAACUAUCUAAAAUGGCUGCAACUUGCCAAUGGGCAAGAUUUGUAACACUAUUCAGGAUUACACCAGUCAUUUUUUUAACAGAAAGAAUCACAUAGAUUUAAUAAUUCAUUUAAGGUCACCAUCUACAGUUCUCUGCAGAAAGUCUAAAAGUUGUAUCAGUGUUGCUUCUUAACAUAUCCCCCAACACUCUAUUAAAAGAAAGACAAAGUGAUGGCUUGAUGAUACAAGGAUAUGUGAAAAAAAUGUAUUACAGUGGAACUGUUUUCUUGUAGAUAUAGCCAAACCUAAGACCAAGUUUUCUAGUAAACAAUGCUUGACUUUGUCGUCUCCUCCUCUUCUCAGAUGCAUACCUCAUGGCUUUUACAACACGUAGAACUCAACUGGCAGAUUGGCAUGUGCUAGAUAUUAGAAAUACCAAAAGCUUUUGCAGACAUAAUGCUGACAUGUGGAGUUUGUGGGUGCUAUUGGAUCUUGCAGAAGGUUUCCUAAAAGGAAAAAAAUAUAUAAAGAUUUAAAAGGAUAUGUUUUAAGUUAAAAGGAA